CAGCCGCCGCGGUAAUACGUAGGGUGCGAGCGUUAAUCGGAAUUACUGGGCGUAAAGCGUGCGCAGGCGGUCGUGUAAGACAGGUGUGAAAUCCCCGGGCUUAACCUGGGAACUGCGCUUGUGACUGCACAGCUAGAGUAUGGCAGAGGGGGGUGGAAUUCCACGUGUAGCAGUGAAAUGCGUAGAGAUGUGGAGGAACACCGAUGGCGAGGGCAGCCCCCUGGGCCAAUACUGACGCUCAUGCACGAAAGCGUGGGGAGCAAACAGGAUUAGAUACCCCUGUAGUCCCUGUCUCUUAUAC
rnacentral:rRNA from 1 species